rnacentral:sRNA from 1 species
UUAUGUCAGAGGUCUGACUUUAAAAACUUCACCUUCAAGAACUUGCUUAUUUGUUUCAUUACUGUUAUUCUAUAGAAGAAUUAUUUUUGUCCGGUAUACGAGGGAAGAACAAGAUUUGGUUUUCACCUGAUAUCGCAAGAAUAGUAAUACAAUGUGUGUAAUGCACUUUAGGAGGCAACAAACAUGGAAAAUGGUAAAGUAAAAUGGUUUAACGCAGAAAAAGGUUUCGGAUUCAUCGAAGUAGAAGGCGGAGACGACGUAUUCGUACACUUCUCAGCGAUCCAAGGUGAAGGUUUCAAAUCACUUGACGAAGGUCAAGAAGUAUCUUUCGACGUUGAACAAGGUGCUCGUGGACCACAAGCAGCUAACGUACGUAAAGCAUAAUCUAACUUUACAAACUCCAAAAACAGACUCAUUCGUGAGUCUGUUUUUUUU